rnacentral:rRNA from 1 species
AGAGUUUGAUCCUGGCUCAGAACGAACGCUGGCGGCGUGCCUAACACAUGCAAGUCGAGCGGGAAAGCUCCCUUCGGGGAACGAGUACAGCGGCGAACGGGUGAGUAACACGUAGGUAACCUACCCCGGGGACUGGGAUAACCUGUCGAAAGACGGGCUAAUACCGGAUGAGACCACGAGGGCCUCGGCCCUCGAGGUAAAAGAUGGCCUCUGCUUGCAAGCUAUUACCCCAGGAUGGGCCUGCGCGCCAUUAGCUAGUUGGUGAGGUAAGAGCUCACCAAGGCCGAGAUGGCUAGCUGGUCUGAGAGGAUGAUCAGCCACACUGGGACUGAGACACGGCCCAGACUCCUACGGGAGGCAGC